rnacentral:rRNA from 1 species
UACGUAGGUGGCAAGCGUUGUCCGGAAUUAUUGGGCGUAAAGCGCGCGCAGGCGGCUUCUUAAGUCUGACGUGAAAUCUCGGGGCUCAACCCCGAGCGGCCAUUGGAAACUGGGAAGCUUGAGUACAGAAGAGGAGAGUGGAAUUCCACGUGUAGCGGUGAAAUGCGUAGAUAUGUGGAGGAACACCAGUGGCGAAGGCGACUCUCUGGUCUGUAACUGACGCUGAGGCGCGAAAGCGUGGGGAGCAAACAGG